rnacentral:lncRNA from 1 species
AUUUACUUCCUCUACAGUUUUCCUGACUGCUACAUUUCAUAAGAAGGGAUUGUUUAUGAGGGUCAAGGAGCUGGAGGCCUGGGGAGGAGCUGGUGUUUCUGUUCAAGUUUGAGGGUCCUGGAGCUGGAGUCCAGGGGAGGAGCCGGUGCUGCCACUGAUGUCUUAGGGUCGUGGAGCUGAAGAUCCCAGAGGAGCCGGUGCUGCUAUUUACUAGCUUGAGUUUCGUGGAGCUGGAGACCCAGGGAGAAGAUGGCGCUGCUGUUCUAAUUUAAGGAUCGUGAAAAAGAAGACCCAGAAAGGAGCUGGUGCUGCCGCUGCUCAGAUCUGAGGGUGUUGGAGCUGGAGCCUGGGGGUGGAGCCGUUGCUGCCUUUGAAGUGUGAGAGUCAUUGAGCUGGAAGUCCAGGAAGCAGCUGGUGCUGCUGUUCCAGUUUGAGGGUCGUGGAGCGCAGACCCAGGCAGCAGCAACGUUGCUGUAGUUCGAGGGUCAGAAAGCUGGCGACCCAGGGAGGAGAAGUCUUGUUCUAGUUUCAGGGUCGUGGAGCUGCCAAACCAGGUAGGAGCAAUUUUGUUGUAAUUCGAGGGUCCGGAAGCUGGAGACCCAGGGAGGAGAGGUCUUGAUCUGGUCUGAGGGUCGUGGAGCUACAGACCCAGGGAGGAGCAAUGUUGUUGUAGUUCGAGGGUCCGGUAGCUGGCAACCCGGGGAGGAGAGGUCUUGAUCUGGUCUGAGGGUCGUGGAGCUACAGACCCAGGGAGGAGCAAUGUUGUUGAGUUCGAGGGUCCGGUAGCUGGCAACUCGGGGAAGACAAGUCUUGUUCGAGUUCGAGGGUCGUGGAGCUGCAGACCCAUGGAGGAGCAAUGUUGUUGUUGUUCGAGGGUCA